UUUCAAAUGGCAUUAAUGAAACUAUAUAUGGGGAGUGCUGAAAAGUUCCUGGCUUUGAGUAAAAGAAAAUACAGAAGGAUCAGUUAAUUAUGAUUUUAUUCAAGAUAUUCCCCUCUCAGAUUCAAACACAUAUUGCAGUGGUCCCUCAGUUUUUCAAAGCUUGGUAAAAAAAACUCAGAGGUUGGGCCUCCAACCAAGCCUUUAGCGAUACCUUUAAAGCUAAGA